rnacentral:misc_RNA from 1 species
UCCCCGUUCACCGGGGCAGUCCCCUCAGAGUGCCCGGCAUGACCCGGUAGCAACAGAGGGCGAGGGUUGCGCUCGUUGCGGGACUUAACCCAACAUCUCACGACACGAGCUGACGACAGCCAUGCACCACCUGUAUACGGCGCCGAAGCACACGGGCUUUCACCUGCUUUACCGUACAUGUCAAGCCUAGGUAAGGUUCUUCGCGUUGCAUCGAAUUAAGCCACAUGCUCCGCUGCUUGUGCGGGUCCCCGUCAAUUCCUUUGAGUUUUAGCCUUGCGGCCGUACUCCCCAGGCGGGGCACUUAAUGCGUUAGCUCCGGCACGGGAGGAGUCGACACCUCCCACACCUAGUGCCCAUCGUUUACGGCGUGGACUAC